AUUGAACGCUGGCGGCAUGCUUUACACAUGCAAGUCGGACGGCAGCACAGAGAAGCUUGCUUCUUGGGUGGCGAGUGGCGAACGGGUGAGUAACAUAUCGGAACGUACCGAGCAGUGGGGGAUAACUAAUCGAAAGAUUAGCUAAUACCGCAUAUAUUCUGAGGAAGAAAGCAGGGGACCAUUUGGCCUUGCGCUGUUUGAGCGGCCGAUAUCUGAUUAGCUAGUUGGUGGGGUAAAGGCCUACCAAGGCGACGAUCAGUAGCGGGUCUGAGAGGAUGAUCCGCCACACUGGGACUGAGACACGGCCCAGACUCCUACGGGAGGCAGCAGUGGGGAAUUUUGGACAAUGGGCGCAAGCCUGAUCCAGCCAUGCCGCGUGUCUGAAGAAGGGCUUCGGGUUGUAAAGGACUUUUGUCAGGGAAGAAAAGGAUAGGGUUAAUACCCCUGUCUGA
rnacentral:rRNA from 1 species